AGCAACAGCGACCCCGGCAAAGUUACAGAGCAGCAGUGGCCGGGGAAGGAGCAGGUCCCCCCGCACCUCUUCCCGAUCAGAGCGGGCUGGGGCAGAGACCGCCGAGUCCCGCCAGCGCCAGGCCCGACAUCUCCACCCAGCAACCCCGAAGUUACAGCGGAGACGCUGGCAAAUCGUGCGAGGGGAGCGGGGGGCUCUUUGCAGAAAAUAAAAGAUGCCCCUGAAGAAGCCUUCAGGAGCCCAGUAUAGGAACCAAAAAACUCAGUUGCAAUCUAGUUUGCAGCAAAGGGCACAUUUGAUGGGGAAAUAUCUGAAACAGAACAACACAGACUGGGCUUUAGGCAUCAUCCCAGCGCAGAAGAAAUAGAGGAGCAAAGCAUAAAUGAUGGAAGUCCUAUUACUAAGGAAUUAGCAGAUUUACCUGAAGAUCAGGAAUGGAAAUAUGAGGAAAGUGAUGGAGAAUCAUCCAGUUUUCAUGGCGGUGUAAAGGAGAGUGGUAAUAAAGAAGAAUGUGGUUCACAUGAAAAGGAGAGUGAUGACAAAAAAAAUCUGGUUUACAUGAAAAGAGAAACAAUAAAGAAGAAUCAGUCUCGCAUGAUGACAGAUACAGCAGUGACAAAAAUUGCACACCACAGAUCUAUACAUCAGAUCCCACUUUAUGUCCAGCGAUCCUAAACUCUGCCAAUAUUGAUCGUACAAUUUUGAAUGGGCCAGGCAAAAUCAAGGAUAUGAUGUUUCCCUUAAAUGAGCAGAAGUGACACUUCUCAAGGUCACACUGCAAAAGAGUAUGCAAGAAUGGUGAGAAACUAAAUUGGCAUUGGCUAGUUUACUCAAAAUCAACUGACAAAGUGUUCGGUUUUUUGUUGCAUAAUAUUUCAUAAGAAUGCCAAAUUGUUGCUUGCGCUUUCCGAGUACAAUUACUGGCAUAACUUAGCUGAUGCUCUUAAGCAACAUGAAAAGUCACCUGGCCAUUUUAUGUCCUACUCUAAAUGGAUGGAGGUCGAGUCCAGGCUCAAGCCGAAUAAAUGCAUAGACACAGAAAGCCAGCGCAUUAUUAAUGUAGAAACAUAGCAUUGGAGGAUCUUGCUUGAGCAUCUGAUCUCAAUUACCCUCUUCCUUGCAAAGAAUAAUUUGGCUUUCCAGGGUUUGAUGGAUAAGUUGUUCACUGUACAUAACAGUCAUUUCCUUGGUUUGGUAGAGUUCCUUGUGUGGAAGCAGAGAAAGAACUGACAGGAAGGGGAUUGCAAUACAUGACAGUUUGUUAGCAAGAGUCAGGCUAACUGUAACCCUAAUAACGCGAGAUUUGUAGAAGCAAGGAUUGUGUGAGACGAGUGGGAAAGAACUGUGUGAGAAGUUGUUGUGACCUUGUGUAGAUAAUGUGCAAACAAUAUGGGAUGUAGACUAAGAGUCUACAUUAGUGAGAAAAACAAGGUAUCAGAAUGACCUAUGUAUAAACAAAAUGCAGCUGUUACUUUUCUUUGUCUGUAACAAAAGGUAUAAAUGUUUGCUGUAAUUGUUUACCUGUUGAGAGACCUGCCUAGGAGGGGGAGACCCUGUGUCCUAGUGCACUCUCUCCCUUUAUGUAGCUAUUUAAGAGAAUAAAGUAUCUGAUUUUGCUGUACCCAACCAAAGUGUCUCUGACACUUGGGAAAUACCACAAUGUCUUGCAUGAGCACCCACGUUGAGUAGUUUGUAAAGAAGCUAUAUGGGACAUUACUCCAGCAGAACAAUUCAAAACAAAUUGAUUGACCUUAUGUCAAGGAAAGUGCUUGAUAACAUAUUGAUGCGGCUUGGCAAAGCCAAGAACUAUGCCAUCAUAAUGGACUGCACUCCCAAUGUAAGUCAGUGAAAAGAUGUCAUGUACAGUAAGAUUUGUUGAAGACGAGGAUGGUUGUAUCCAAGCAAAGGCACACUUUAUCUGUUUCCGAUCUAUGGGCGACUCUACUGUAAAAGGCCUAACAGAACUGUUUAUGAAUGUUUUGAACGAGAAUAAAAUAAAGCUUCAGGACUGCCAUGGCCAAGGCUAUGACAACCGUGCAAACAUAAAGAGAAGAAACAGUGGCAUCCACGCAAGGAUCCUUGCGCUGAAUCCAAGAGCUUUCUUCGUGCCUUGUAGCUGCCAUUCCCUCAACGUGGUUGUGUAAGAUGCCGCGUCAUCUUCUUUAGAUUCAGUAUCUCUCUUUGGAUUACUACAAAGGAUAUGCGUUCUGUUUUCAGCAUCAACUAUCAGGUGGAACGUGGAAGAUCCUCACAGACAGUGUUACAUAUUUGACCCUGAAGGCAUUAAGGGACACUUGCUGGGAGAGCUGCAUUGACAGCGUAAGGCCAGUGAGGUACUAAGUGACUGAGGUUUAUGACACCCUGAUGGAACUGGCGCAGUCGAGUAAAGCCGAGGCCGGAAUCCGACUGCAAAGCCUGGCAAACCAGAUCACUGACUUCAAAUUUCUGGUCUCAGUUGUGAUUUGGCAUGAUAUCCUGUUCCAAGUAAAUAUUGUAAGCAAGGCAUUACAAACCAGUCGAUGGACAUUGCGGCUGCUACUACUUUGAUGAGAAGCUGCUUGAUUUCGUUGUGGCCUAUAGAGACAACGGAUUUGAAGAUGCCAUCACUGCUGCCAAAGAAAUGGUGGAAAGGUGAGGAGUUGAGCCUGUCUUCAAGGAAAUUCGUAUUAAUUGGAAGAAGUGACAGUUUGGUUAUGAGGGCAGAGAUGAGGUGAUGGGGAGCUUUUUUGCUCGCUGGUUGACACUGCUUGAGUGUCCAUUGAAGAAAUAUUUGGACAAAUGAAUCACCACAAAAAGACCUGAGGGUGGAGGGGUAUGACCUGCCGGCUGACAGGAAAACACUCUUGAACAAUUGUAGAGACCUUCACCUGACGCUGACACAAGGGGAACAUUCAGAGGUCAAUGAUAAAGACCUCUAUGUCAAAAUGGACAACAUCCGUCACAUUUUGCAACAUGGGAAGCACUUUCCACUCCAAGUUCUCCGAUUAAUUCAUGAUGCAGAGCUGAAGGAGACUUUUUCUAAUGUCUGGAAAGCUUUCAAGAGUCCGCUCAUGUUGCCAGUCACAGUUGCGAGUGGUGAGCGCAGUUUUCAAAGCUCAGGCUCAUUAAAACAUAUCUUUGAUCGACGAUGGCUGAUGAGAGACUGACAUUGCUUGCUAUUUAUUGUUUGAAAAUGCUAUUGGCCAGUCUUUGGAUCUCGCUGAUGUUGUGCUUCAGUUCGGGAGGGCAAAGGCAAGAAAAGUGACCUUUUGAACUAAAGGACUUAAGGUUAACAUUCUAAGGUUGUCACUUACCGUAACACUAUUUAAUACUGGUCCACCCAAUGUUGGUGCACAGUUCAAUUUCUUGAUGUUAGUACAUUUCAGUUAUUCUUAAAAUUUAAAAGUUUCUAUAUGCUUAGAGGAAAUGAUUUUUAUUUGCUUAUAUAUGGCAUGAAUAAAUACAGAUUUACAGAUCCUAGCGUGCAAAUUUAUCAUCUUAUAUGACAGGGAUAAAUCAUGCAUCAAAGUUGUGAAAUAAGCUACAAAUGCAAUAAAGUAGUCAAAGUUUAAUAAGCGGGAGGUGCCAUUUGGUCUAGGGCUAGCUCUGCUCCUCCCCACUCUUAUAAAUCCUGGUUUUACUAAUCUAAGGUGAUGUUAGUAAAAGACCUGACAGGUUUUUUAGUAAUCUGGUUCCUUGACUUCAAUGGGAAAUUUGCCAGACAAAAGACAACAUGGUGUUGCCCAUUGUUUUUAUUUUGUAAAUGUCUGCGUGGGAACCUGUCAUGGCUGGUUGGUAGACCCCCAGUUUUAUCUACCUUGCUCUUACAGCCAUUUGCAGUCUGUACAAUGCUUCACAUGUGAAACUAUUUUAAAAAAUGUUUUAACCUUUUUUCCUGUCAUAGCAACUUCUGCCAGUAGCUUAUGAAUAACCCAACAUAACAAACCAGUGUAUGUAUUUGUGUGAAGAGGAUCAAUUCAAUGAGAAAACAGAUUUCAGUGUCACACGUCCAAAUCUUUGAUAGCAACAUGGAGCAGGCAAGUCAUUUUAAGAAUGAUUAAAAAUGCUUUAACAUCGUUAACUUUUUUUAGUAUGAUGACGAGUGAACAGAGCUCAAAGUUGGUAUUGCUCAGCAGAAAGCGGCGUGGAAAUCGGAGGCAUUUGAUCAGGCAGAACAGGGUCUGGUCUCAUCUUAACUGCUUCUGAUCUCCUGAUGGUAAAUCUGGGGCAGAAGGUGAGUGAGGGGUGACUUUCUCUACCAGACGGUUAAAUCCCACAAUGCAAGAAGCGGUGCCCUCUGGUUGCUUGUUAUUUUCUGACAGUUGGGACGCAUCGCUGGAGACAAGGAGAGACGAAACACUUGCGCGCGCGCGUGUGUGUGUGAAGUUGUGUCUUGUCUCCGUUUUUGUUUUGCUCUUUUCUGGUCAUGAGACCCGGAAGUUUUUUUUUUUUAAUCACAUGGCAGAGAGAUAUAAUAAAAACAGAAAAAUGGCGACAGUCACGUUGUGGCGAGUCUAUGCUGCGUCAUUAGAUAAUCUUCAUGCAAAGAUCGCAAAGAACAAAGAGAAGAGGGGAAAGGAGCCCCGGCCGCAAAGCAUCCAGCGGGAGGAGCCUGGGAGGAGGAGGAGGAGGAGGAGGAGGAAGAUGGAGGAGUCUCCACGGCUCGCUGGGGUGAGCUUCCCAAACGGAGGAGGAGCCAAGACAGGGCUGGAGUCUCCCUCAAGCAGCCUGGAAGCUGCCUGGUACGUGGGCUUGUCCCUUGCAGAUUCGCGCCCCCAACCAGGCAGAGCUUCACAUCAGCAGCUCUUGGGAGCUGGGUACCAAGCUAUGGCUGUCUCCCCUCCCAGACAAGCGACAAAAACUUGUUUGAUGGUGCUUUUGUUCCCACAGUGGCGGGCACUGGCACUCGCUGGCUGAGAUCAGCAAGGGAGAAUGCCCGAGGGGCUUUUCCUAGUCUCUGUGCUCCUGCUCACGCCUCUCACCCCCUUUGGAGCCACACCUCCAGUUCCCUCUAGCUUUCACUUACAUAGCAGAGUAUUUUCUUAUUUAUUUCAAAGAGAGGGCCUCAGCGCAAGUUCAGCUGGACAAAGGGGACAGGUACAGGGCCAGAUCCUAGAUCACCAACUUGUUUCCUGACUUAGUAAGUUAUUCUUUAACAAAGCGUAGGGACAUUUUCUUUCCAUUGGCUAAUAAGUGACAAAGGCCAAGUCCAUGGCCCUGGUUCCUGCCAUGCCAGCCUCUGUGAUUGUUAGCAGAUGUUUUCAGUGCAGCAUGAGCUGAAAACAAAGAGCAUCCCUGCCCCCCCCCAUCACUAUAUUGAGCUCCCCUUACAUGGGAGAUGUUGGUCCAUCUUGAGCUGUGUUCUAAUAAUGGGUGUAUGUGUGUGUGAGGGAGGGAGUUUCCAAGAAAGCGAAUGCUGGGGGAUCCAGUCAGGUUGCUGGUGUUAAAUUUGUUUGAAUAUUUUCAUGUAUUUUUCAGGAAGGGGCCUCUAGGAGCUCUUGUUUCCAGAAAAGUGACUGAAUACUUGCCCACAGACCGUAGCUGAUGAAUGAUUAAUCAUGUUUUAGAGAUUUAUUUAUUUAAUUAUUCAUACAUUUGGUACACCAACAGCAGCAGUUAGAAUUCAUCUAUCAGACCGUUAACUCAACCACUAAUCAAUGUUUAAGAGGGGAAGGGAGUCAAAAAGACUAAAAGGUAAGUGUUGGUGGAAGGAAUCAAGCAGAACGUAGAUAAAGAAUGGAGAAGAUUUUAUAAACAGUUCCCAUGACGGAAGUUUCCUUGAUGGGAGAGUUUCAUAUUGUUGAAUGUACCUGUCUCCUACCUUACUUACAAGUGAAGAAGCAAAUCUUUAAAAACGAAUAAAGAAGAAUUUAAAGCUAUAGAAAAUAUUGCUUUAAUAACUGUCCUAGCACACUAGAGUCUUUCACUUCUAGGUGCUGUAAACUGCACUGUAGGGAGGAGCUCCUGCCAUAUUAAAAUUCCAGUAACUUUCUUAAGGAGUAAAGUCACUUACCCAGUAGCCAAAAGAUCAAUUAUAUCCCUAUAACUGUAGUUUUCUGCUCUUAAGAUCACACACAAAGUAAAAUAUUUGUAAUAAAGGUGGAGUUUUUCCCCACUUUUCCUAGCUUUGGAUAAGACAGAUCUCUUCCUAGUCAGUGUCAGAGUUGGCCUAUAAAAAUCAGAGCUCUAAUUCCAAGCUACAUGCUAGGAGAAAAGAAAGAAAAGUUGUAUUUGUAGGGGGAGGAUAAAUAGCCAAUUUAGUUUUUAGACUCUAAUAAAAAGGAGUGUUGUGUAAUUCAAAACACUCAAGAAACGUGGUAAGUUACCAACCCCGAAAGAAGAGAGUAGUGGA